rnacentral:lncRNA from 1 species
AGGAACUUUUGUUUAUGUGAGUUAUAUCUAUUAAUAUUUAUCACCCAGAAAAUUAAAAUUGAAAAGUUUUGAAAACCAGGAACACAUGAGCACCAUCGCUUAACAUAACCUCUGAAAAACUCGUCUGUAUGCUUACAUGAUGCAAUGUCACUUCUGAGUUUAGACCAUAAAAGACUUAUUUUUUUCUUGGCAGCACAUUUUCUCGAGACGCUUUUAUCAUUUCUUACAUCGUUUUCUUAGAAUGGUAUUAUUGCAAUUGAAAGUUUUUGCCACUGCUCAAACUAAACACUUAUGUUCAGAAAUACUUACAAUGCCAAAAAUUAACAUUAUUAAAAAUACAUUGUAUUGAUUUACAGUAAAUAUCCUAAGACAUAUGCAAGGAAAUGCACAUCAACCCACAGUACACAAUCCACUAAAGUAAUUAAGUAAUUACUUGCAGGAACACAUUCCUCAUUCAAAUAUAAUAAUGUAUAGCAUUAUCAACAUUUUUCUUACUGAGGAUUAAGAGCAUUAAGAAAAUUAAGCAUCAUUAAAAGGUUUGACAUGAAAUUACAUAGUAAAUUAUUAAAGUUAAACCGAUUUUUGAUUCAUCAACGUGUUUUGUUCUUUUAUUUAGUGAGAAUCAAUUUAGUGAAGGGGAAAAUAGAGAGAGGAGAGAGAGAAGACAGAAAAUCAAAGAGACUGGCA